GCGAGUCUGGCCGAGUGGUUAAGGCGUUGUGUUUAGGCCGCAAUGGGCAUUGCCCGCGUAGGUUCGAUCCCUACGGCUCGCA